CAUGCCCUGACCCACUGAAGUGGCUCCUGUGACCAACUGCAGAGGCCCCUUACACGCCACCAAUGCAGGCCCACCCCUCACGCUUGUCCUGUCCUGCCCAGGUGGACCCACUCACCCAGCUGCAGAGUUUCCAGGCACCCCACCUAUGUCAGCCCACAAAUUGGCCCAGGACUUGCUGUUAGAUGGGGCUAGUCCCUAGAGCAGGCUGCCUUCCCUGGCUGAGCAGCCAUGUGCUCUAGUGGGUGACAUAGACCCCUGUGCUAACAGGCCAGGGGAAGACCUCCAAUAGCAUCUGCCAGUGUCUGUGUCAGCACUCCUGUACUAAGUCACAAUAAUGGCUGCCACCAAUGUCUUAGUCCAUGGGGAGGUCUCAUCUCUCACCAAGAUUCAUCCAGAGCCUAUCAGAGCCUGAAUCUAGAGAAUCUAAAAUGCCGUGCAUCCUAAGAAGCAUGUAAUGGUCCGGAGGUGGAUGAGUCUUUUCAUGCACAGUUGCUCCAGUACAGCUCCUCCAGGACAAUUCCCCUGUUUCCGAAGACCUGUGAACUCUAAAAGCGAGUUACCUGCUCCUCCCACAUCCCCCCACCACACACGCAAUUCAGGACAGGGAGACUGGCUGAGGGUAACUGCUAUAGACCUUCCCACUCAAAAAGAAAGGGAAGUAAGGCACACAAAAAUCUCAUAAAUGUCGCAAAUUUGAAAUCCAGCCAAGACCAUGCUGCCAGUUUCUUGAUAUGGGUUCAAGCUUAUGGCCUGUGAAUGAUUCUGGACGGCUCUUGGAUCCACCUUUAAGGUUUUUGAUCCUACUGUCUGAAUUCUCAUUUCUUUUCCAUUAGAAAUAGCAGAAUGGCUUUCUCUCCAUAUCUUGCCCAUACUAGUCGAAUGGUCCAAUAGGCUCUUUUUAUUUUGUUCUGCCUCUGUCCCUCUUAGUCCAAGCUGGCAAUGUUUCUGUCAAUGUAUUUUCUUAAAUUUUUUGCAGGUUUUCUAUGAGUAUUAAUAGUAUUCAUUCCACUACAGAAACAUUAAACUGAGACAUAUUAAAAUGCUGAAGAGUUUCUUUGAGCAAACCUCGAUUUGAAUCAACCAAUGGAAGCCCCUACGGAAAGGUUAGGAGGGCCCCACUGACAGGAGCUAGGGGCAAGAUUUUUAUAUAGAAGAUGUGGAAGCAAAGCAAACAAAUUAUUUUAUUGAUUACAGCUUAAGCAGUCACCUUAUUUGAGAAAGCCUAGUUGGCUGGGAUUGGUUGUUCUUAAUUUUCACUUUCUUGGAUUUGAGACAUUGACUCUGGCUUGUGUUUCUGUUCGGCUAUGUAGGCUAGCAAUGCAUUAGAGCCUCCUGAGUCUAAGGCCCUCCUUGUUUAAUUAUAACUUUAACACUAUCUUUGGCUCCCCGUAAGGUUGGAGGAGAAAGUCCUCAGAAUUUUUAGAGGCUCUAUUAUUUAAAGAAGAGGAUCAGUGUUUAGAGGGACUGUUGUCUGUUUGAAGUACCAUAACAAGUAUUUCUGUGGUCAUAACAGAGGGUGGUAUAGUCGAACUCUUACUGUCUUCUUUAGACUAUAUUUUCCUGACAAUGCCUUAAAUUUGAUCUCAGCUCAGAAAAUAUUUUUAACUUUUUAGAAUCUUUUGCUAACUGUAGACUGUGUGGAUGACAAAUGGCUUUAUUGUCAAACCCUGAAAGUUCUGGGCCCCUUAUGCUAAAAAAAAAAAAUUGUUUUCUUUAUCCUUUCUCUCUUCUUUCAUGUUUUACUAUGAGCAACCAGGAAAAGCCAGAUGACACUUUAACACUCUGUCUGGAAUGUUCUUAAGUAGAUCAUCAGGUUCAUUUUUCCUAUUUUUCAUGUUAACAAAGGUGACGGGAUCGUUAAAGUUUCCAUCUUCCAAUAACAUUUUUCUCACCUUCCUUUCAUCUCCCACCAACAUCCUCCUAAAAUGCCACCAAGCUUCCACCAACAGACUCUGAGGCUUUUUAGGCUCUCACUUACACUCUCCUCGAUGUCCUUCCAGUUUCUCCCACCACCUGGGCCUAAGCCAUUCUCACCUGCUCUAAGAGUUUUACUAUACCAGGAGUAGCACCACUGCUGGUACCCAAAUCUGUUCCAGGUUAGAAUGUGCUUCUCUUACACUGUAGAACUGUUACCUGAGUUUGUUUAAAAUAACGGAUUGGAGCUACCAUGUUAGUAUUGCAAGAAAAUGUCUCUGUACUAUGUUGGCCUCUAAAAAAAGGAACAACCAUUUCACAGGUGAAGAGGCUUAACUUACUUUCCUGAAGAUAAAAAUCUCUUCAAAUCACUGGUCCAACAUAAUCUUGAAAAUACUCUCUGCUAGAACCUAGAGGAUUUGCAUAGACAUAAGGUAAUAGCUCAGUCAGCUUGGGCUGCCAUAACACAAUAUGAUCAACCGGGCAACUUAAACAACAGAAAUUUUUUUCCUCACAGUUCUGAAAGCUGGAAGUCUGAGAUCAAGGUGCCAGCAUGGCUGGGUUCUGACAAGAACCAUCUUCCUGGCUUGUGCAUGGCUGCCUUCUCACUGUGUGCUCACAUGGACUCUCCCCCGUGGGUGUCUGGAGAGACAGAGAGAGAGCAAACUCUCCGAUGUCUCUUCUUGCGUGGACACUAAUUGCAUCAGAUCAGAGCUCCACCCAUACAACCUCGCUGAACCUUAAUCACCUCCGUAAAAGCCCUCUCUCUAAUAUAGUCAGAUGAGGGAGAGGUCAGAGCUUCAACAUAGGAAUUUUCUAGGCAGACAAUUCAGUCCAUAGCAAGUAAUCGUCCUACUAUGCGUCACGGAAAGACUGAGAUCACUGAGAAAUCAUCCUGGGUGUCCCUUUGGAGCAGUUCCAUAAUUAGUGACCCCAUUCUAUUACUUCAACAAAUAGUUUCUAUUCCAGGUACUGUUUAGGGGCCAAGUAUAAAUCAUGAACAAAGGAGAACUAACUGUUGCUCUCUUAUAUUUGGUAUGAUACAUACUUAUAAAGAAAAAUUUCCUGAUACGAAAAGAUUGUAGAAUGAGGAAAGUCUUCUCUGAGAAUAUUUAAGUUGAGACUUAGGAUGGAUGGAAAGAUGCUCACAAUGCCUGCUGGACAUCUCAGCAAAUCAGAGGACCAACAAGUUUCUGAGCCAGAGCUUGUGGCUGUGCAGUCUGCAGGAGGGCAACCAGGAGCAGGAGAAGGUGGAGCCGUGCUGGCAGGCAGUCUUCCAACUGCAUGUCGACCUGGAGCUGCCGGCAAGUGUUUGUUUACUGGUGUCUGCUAUGCUCCUGGAGCCCCCUUGCAUGGCAGUCAGGAAUUUUUGGAGGACGCACACACUCAAUCUACAGCAGCUAUCUGUUUGAAACUUCAUCUAACCUAUAUAGGAAAGAAAUACUGAAUUUGAUACAGUUUAGAUUUCCUUAUUUUGGAGAAUGACUUCAUAAUCUUAGAGUAAAUGAUAAACAUCAAACUUUCAGCUGUUGAAGCCAUAUAAUCGUGUGA